GGAUAGCUCAGAUGGUAGAGCA
rnacentral:tRNA from 3 species